rnacentral:lncRNA from 1 species
GCUCAGGGGUGGGUGCAUAGGUGUUUUAAAGUGUUACAUGUUUUUGAAUGGGUUAAGUUGGAGAUUUGUACGUUUUCAGUGGCAUGUGCGUCGAAGUCAGCAACGACUUUGUGUUCGUCCAGUGGUCCUUCAGGGCCGGAUCCUACCGACAUGCAUGCGGGCGUGGCGUCGCGGGCGCUGAUGUGGGCACUGGAACCGCCGAGGGCCCAUUUGUGCUGAAUUACGAUAUUGGUGGCUAUGUCCGGGAUCUCGGCGCCUGUAGUGGAGAGGGACGGGAGAGUUUCUCCCGUCGGUGUGCUGGACUCGAAAGCACCACUAUAAAGCGGGAUCGUUCCGCCAUCUUGCCACUUUGAGAAGGGGCAAAUGGGAAUUGCUUGUUAAUUGGACUUGAUUAAUGUGAAUAUAUUCGCGAGUCGGUUUGGCUCAAGGUGUUAAAAAUGUCCCAUCGUGUUUAAUUUAAAAACAAUAUUUUCUCAUAUCUAUACCUGAAACAAUUCGCACCCCAUGUUAUCUGUAUCGGAAAUAGCUUUCGUCCGCAAUAACAUGUUAUUCGCGGUACUUCUAUGUGCCCUUUGGUCUCAAUAUAGCACUUCUAAACGCGGUACAUCUAUUUACGAGAAA